rnacentral:lncRNA from 1 species
UACAUGCAUACAUACAUAUUUACACAGGUAAACCACAACACACGCGGCAACCGAGGAAUAUAACGUCUCGCUCCACGUCGGCAAUAGAACAGCACCGCGCAGGCUAUCCCGACCUGCGACCUGAGUUCAGCUAAAAUUAUUUAUUCAAACAAUCCGUUUGCCUGCGAUGUAUGGAGCUUUUAAAAUUGCAAAGAAUGAUCAAGCAGAACCGCCAUGACAAGGCGCCGGAGCGGGCCACUGUUUCUUGCGCUCUAUGGCGCUGUUCCUGAUCAGCGAAUGUAAAGCUAUUGAUUGAGAUUACUGUUGCAGCGAGAAGCGUCGCGCUGGGUGAUUCCGUUGGCGGACUCCAAGGAGGCUUCACACCGUCUUCGGGAGUCCGCGCGGGGGUGCUUCGCAUAACGAUGCACCUGCAUAGCUAUGUAAUCAGUCACCAGGGCAAACUUAUUUCAUAGACGCCCAAGGUCUCAGCCCGAGGUCUCGGCCCGAGGUCUCGGCCCGAGGGGUCUCGGCCGUCCGUCUCGUCUCGAGGUCUUGGCCGUCCUUUCCAUGGAGCCUUAUGCUGCAACUCAAUAAGAAUUCCAUUUACACAAUUGUAUGCAUAACUCUUGGUUCUUGUCACGUAUGUGUUCAGCUUCCUAAGAUGAAUUGUAACCCCUGUACGUACUGCAACCGCUUCUCCAUUUUUCCGCCAGCAGAGACUUUGUCCUUACGAAGUAGAUAUAGCAUCUGCUUUAUGUUCCUUACAGUCUGAGCUCUGGUUACACAGCUCCGCUGGUGUAAGAUUGCGAGACUCUGAUAGGGAAAUACAGAAGGUCCAGUCGCAGAUAGAGGCAACGGAGGAUCCACAAAAAGCAUGCGAGGAUAAAGAUGAGUUGGCUCACUUGCGCGAGAAGGCGCGCCAACUCCGCGAGAAGGAGCGCCAACUCCGCGAGGAGGAGCUCUUGCGUCUCAAGAUGCAAUGUAAGUGAACCAUGAAGUGUGUGCGCCUGAAGCCUUCGUCAGCACCUAUAUUAUAGUCCACAUAAACAAUAUAGAGACAAAUGGUCUGAGUAUCGCACCUUGGCUUUGGACUAAUACCUGCUCUAUAUUAAUAGUUUUAUCUCAACAAUUCAGAAAAGAACCGAACAGUGAACAGAUCUAGUGAUAUGCCCAGAAUACUAUCAACCUGGGUCAAGCUGCAUGUCAAAAAGGUCAAUGCAUCUUGGUGUCACCUGAUGAGCACCAGACUGCUGCCUGAACAUAAUACAGGAAAGUAACUAUUAGUGUCUGGUUGUGCCUGAUGUGGUCUAGACUGUGUGGCUGUGUCAAAUGCACCAGCUUUAUGCUGUACAGGAGCAAGAAUGGGACAUGCCCUAUGGCAUAAAAUGGGGGGUACCACCCCCUUAAGUGUAACCCAGGGGGUCAGAGUAAGGGUUAUCCAUGUGGCUAUGUCAUUGCAUCUUGAGACGCGGAGUUGGGGCUCCUUCUUGUGGAGUUGGCACUUCUUCUCGCGGAGUUGGCACUCCUUCUCGUGC